rnacentral:rRNA from 1 species
UACGUAGGUGGCAAGCGUUAUCCGGAAUUAUUGGGCGUAAAGCGCGCGCAGGCGGUUUCUUAAGUCUGAUGUGAAAGCCCACGGCUCAACCGUGGAGGGUCAUUGGAAACUGGGGAACUUGAGUGCAGAAGAGAAAAGCGGAAUUCCACGUGUAGCAGUGAAAUGCGUAGAGAUGUGGAGGAACACCAGUGGCGAAGGCGGCUUUUUGGUCUGUAACUGACGCUGAGGCGCGAAAGCGUGGGGAGCAAACAGG